AACCAGUGAUGUAAUGAUUCUGCCAAAUGAAGUAUAAUGAUAUCAUCCAAAAACCGUUCCAUUUUAAUUCUGAGGUU